CGCGUGAGGGAGGGGCUCUUGGGUCGUAAACCUCUUUUCUCAGGGAAGAACACAAUGACGGUCCCUGAGGAAUAAGCAUCGGCUAACUCCGUGCCAGCAGCCGCGGUAUUACGGAGGAUGCAAGCGUUAUCCGGAAUGAUUGGGCGUAAAGCGUCCGCAGGUGGCUAUGUAAGUCUGCUGUUAAAGAAUCUAGCUCAACUAGAUACAAGCAGUGGAAACUACAAGGCUAGAGUACGUUCGGGGCAAAGGGAAUUCCUGGUGUAGCGGUGAAAUGCGUAGAGAUCAGGAAGAACACCGGUGGCGAAGGCGCUCUGCUAGGCCGUAACUGACACUGAGGGACGAAAGCUAGGGGAGCGAAUGGGAUUAGAUACCCCUAG
rnacentral:rRNA from 1 species